UGUUAUAUGCCUAAUCGAGUCCUCCAAAUUUAAGAUCUGUCAUUUUAUUUUAGAAAACUGAACAUUUGCAGAGGCAUAAAUAGGGGCGUUGCGAGAAUCGAACUCGCGGCCUCUCGCACCCGAAGCGAGAAUCAUACCACUAGACCAAACGCCCAUUGCACUCUUAAUUUUUAUAUACACCAUAGCUAAUAUAUUCAGGGCGUUAUUCUUUUCCUUUCGUCUUACAGGUUUUAGCUUCUUUGAAAUUGGACUCAAAUCAGAUGUUAGGGUUUACAGAUUCCCCUCUCCGAAUUCAUAAUUUACUUUGAUACAUUCACAUAUUAAUAUAUCUCCGUGUUCUCUGUUUCCGUUUUCUGGUCAAAAUUUUUAGAUAGAUGGCUCAUAACAAUACUGUUGUUGUUGAUAACAAAUUUAGAAGAAAAUUCAAUAGAGAAGUAUUUAGAACACGCUCGUGAGCGUGAAAAGCAGGAGGCUGAGUAGCGGGUCAAAUCCAAAUCUAAAGCUCCACCAGUGCAAAGAAAGUCCUUGAAGCAUAGAUUAUGAAGUAGACCUUGAAUCUCGAUUGGGAAAAACUCAGGUCGUCACACCUAUAGCACCUCUAAGUCCUCUAAGCCAGCAGGCUGGAUACUACUGUUCGGUACGUGAAUGUGUAGUGAAGGAUUCAGCGAACUACUUGGAUCACGUCAAUGGAAAGCAAUGUGCAUAGUUCUCCACAGUUUCACUAUGGGGGUUUCAUUCUCUGGUGACAUUUCACAUUUUGUUCGGUAAAUCAAAGAGCUUUGGGCAUGUCUAUGCGGGUGGAGAGAGCAUCUCUUGAACUGCUACUUCUUUUAAGUAAUUCUUUUUUUUUUUGGGUAAAUCUGAAAAUAUCUUUUAAGUGAUUAUUAGUUCUUUUUCCAAAUGAGAAAUUAAUUAAUAUGGUAAUGUGCAAGUUUUGAUACUUUCUAUUCAUUUAAA